rnacentral:rRNA from 1 species
AGAGUAUGAUCCUGGCUCAGGAUGAACGCUAGCGGCAAGCUUAACACAUGCAAGUCGAACGGUAACUUUUGGUGCUUGCACCGAAAGACGAGUGGCGGACGGGUGCGUAACGCGUAUGCAAUCUACCUUUUACUAGGGUAUAGCCCAGAGAAAUUUGGAUUAAUCCCCUAUAAUAUCAAAAUUCCGCAUGGUUUUUUGAUUAAAGCUUCGGUGGUAAAAGAUGAGCAUGCGUCCUAUUAGUUUGUAGGUGAGGUAACGGCUCACCUAGACUACGAUAGGUAGGGGCCCUGAGAGGGGGAUCCCCCACACUGGUACUGAGACACGGACCAGACUCCUACGGGAGGCAGCAGUGAGGAAUAUUGGACAAUGGACGAAAGUCUGAUCCAGCUAUGCCGCGUGCAGGAUGACAGCCCUACGGGUUGUAAACUGCUUUUAUACAGGAAGAAAAACCCCGACGUGUCGGGGCUUGACGGUACUGUAAGAAUAAGGAUCGGCUAACUCCGUGCCAGCAGCCGCGGUAAUACGGAGGAUCCAAGCGUUAUCCGGAAUUAUUGGGUUUAAAGGGUCCGCAGGCUGUUUUUUAAGUCAGAGGUGAAAUCC